rnacentral:rRNA from 1 species
UACGGAGGGGCUAGCGUUGUUCGGAAUUACUGGGCGUAAAGCACACGUAGGCGGCUUUGCAAGUUAGAGGUGAAAGCCCAGGGCUUAACCCUGGAAUUGCCUUUAAAACUGCAUCGCUAGAAUUGUGGAGAGGUAAGUGGAAGUUCCGAAGUGUAGAGGUGAAAUUCGAUAGAUAUUCGGAAGAACACCAAGUGGCGAAGGCGACUUACUGGACACAUAUUGACGCUGAGGUGCGAAAGCGUGGGGAGCAAACAGG